UACAGAGGUCUCAAGCGUUGUUCGGAUUCAUUGGGCGUAAAGGGUGCGUAGGCGGCGCGGUAAGUCGGGUGUGAAAUCUCGGAGCUUAACUCCGAAACUGCAUUCGAUACUGCCGUGCUUGAGGACUGGAGAGGAGACUGGAAUUUACGGUGUAGCGGUGAAAUGCGUAGAUAUCGUAAGGAAGACCAGUGGCGAAGGCGGGGUCUCUGGACAGUUCCUGACGCUGAGGCACGAAGGUCAGGGGAGCAAACGGGG
rnacentral:rRNA from 1 species